AGGCCUGCUGGGCUCCCGACGCUCGCGGGAGCAGCGGGAAACCAGGUUCCGGGAGUGGGGCGAGGACGCCCCUGCCAAGCCCCUUUUACGUCCCGGCGGUCGCGAGGAGGUCCCCCGGGCGCGAAGAAGACGCCAGCCCACCCCAGCCGCCGGGGAGAUCGCCCAGGCCGCGCUCAGCCCCGCCCCUGGCUCUGCCCCCGCCGCGGAGCGGAACCCUCCAAGUCGCGGCCUGAGGAGGAAGGAAAAGGGGGCGGCCCGGGAGAGCCGCUGCGAAAUCAGCAACGGGCGGGAACCAGGUUGCCUCCCUGAGUCCCUUCUCUCCCCGGCCGGCUGCCAACCACAGCCAAGGCCAGAGAAACAGGCCCUUCUGCCGCGGCCACCUGGGCGCCUUGGACCCGCCCUCCGGACUCGCCCCCGCCCCUGCCGCGGAGUGGAACGUUUGGAACCCUGAGGGGCACAGGUAAGGGGGCGGCCCCGCCCCGCGCCCUGGAACGACCUCACGGCCCCGCCCACAUCCCCGCCCCUGGCCCCACCUCCGCCGCAGAGCGGAACCCUCAGAGUCGCGGCCUCGGGGGGGACGAAAAAGGAGGCGGCCCGUGGGAGUCUAGGGGAACCCGGCUUCGGGCGGCGGACGAGUUGGCUUUCCUGCGUGGUAGUGUGGAGCCCCCCGAGACGGGUGCCAGUCCCACUCGAGGCCGGAGAAAGAGGGCCGCCUACCGCGGCCGCCUGGGCACCCCUCUGAGGGCCAAGAUUGUAGUCCCACCUCUGGCCCCGUCUCCGCCGCCUAGCGGAACUGGAGUAGCGGGACCCAGCCCGGAAGAAAAAGGGGGAAGGCCCGGAGAGGUGCCCCAGCGACACCUCUGGCGCCUGUGACCCCGCCCCUAGCCACUUGGGCGCCGCUUCCUCGGGCAGGUUCGCAGUUCAUCUCCCACGGGUCUACAGCUUGAAACUUGGCAUUCAUUAUAAUGUUUCGUGGCUGCUGAUAACCUACAGUUCACAAUCUUCGGCCUGGUAUUCAUUGUCCACCAAAAUCUGGCCCACAUAGGAAUUUACUGGACAGCUAGACUAAUGCAAUCAAUUUCCGCAAGCUCUUUUCCAGUCUCCAUGCAUUUACUCUAUGCUUGACCCCUUCGGCCCUUCUUCCUCCUCCUUGACUAACUGAAGCCUAUCUUUCCCUUAACGGCCAGCUCAGCUCCUCUAUUAGCCUUCCCCAUUUUCUGAAUUUCUGUAGCCAUUGGUUUAGUAAGAGCUUAGGACUUAGAGUCAGUUCAUUUUGAGUUCAAAUGUCAGUUCUGUCAUUUACAAGUCGUAUGACCUUUGGCAUCCCGUUUUACAUGUUUGAACUUAAGUGUUCUCAUCUGUAAAAUGGAGAUAAUCAUAGCACCUACCUCACAGGAUGACUUAAGAUCAAGAGGAUGAAUAUAAAGCAUUUAGCACAAGCCUGGCUAGUAGAAAAAUACUUAAUAAAUCAUAGCUAAUUUCGUUGUCACUUGGCCACAAUGUAUUGCCUCCUGUUGUUAUUUAUGUUUUCAUGUGUGGAUGAGGCAUAUUUUCCUAAUUGGAAUGUACGUUAUUCAUUGAAACAGUCUUUUGGUAUCUCCUACUAUGCCUGGUACAGUGUUGAGCAUAUAGUUGGAGCUCAAUUAAUGUUGCUCGCAUGAGUAAAUGAAAUCAGUCCUGCUUAGCUGCGUUCCCUUAUGUUUGGUCCUUAACCAAGUUUAUAUUAGAUAUUCCAGAACAUAAAUCUAUGGCUUUACUCUGUCACUCAACUAAAGCACCAAACCCCACAUCAGCUCACAUAUUACUUCAUAUAAUACUUUGUUUUCUUAAUAUUGGCUUUUGAAUUAUGCAGUGAUCCAUGUGAUGUGCCUCCAUGAAGAAUUUGCUGUGGUCUAGGGGUGAAUAAAACUAGACAUUGUUAUCACCACUAAAUGUUUUGGAAUCUGAAUAUGUACUCUUGCUAGAAUUUUCAUGUAUUCAUCUCCAUCUAAAAGCUGGGAUCAUUGCUUCUUUUCAUUGUGGCUUUUGUUUCCAUUGGGUCCUUCCUUAGGAGUUGAUUUUGCAGCCAUAUGGGAAAUAACUGAUGAUCUUUGCUCCUUAUCUGGCAUUUCCACCUAGUAUAGAAACAUUUUCAGUUUCCUGACUUCAUUCUUCGCUAAUUCUGCUGUGCACAUUUGCACCCCUUUUGGUGUAUAGGCAAUCUACAUUCUUCGGCUUUGGUCUAUGCGAUUGCAUAGCAAUAUAUAAGCUAUGUUCUUCAAUAAGCUCAAAAUUCUGGGAUAAAACCAAGAAGGAAGGCUACUCCGUUUUAGCUUUUAAAUUUUUAAAGCAAAUUUUAGUGAUUCAUUUUGGACCAGAAAGCUGUACUAUAUAAUAAAUCAGUCUCACAUUUUAGUAUCCUCAUAUCCCUGAGGUGCAAAACCUCCAUAUCUUGGUCCCCAUAUCCAUGAAGCCAUUCUCUGGUUAUCACCAAUAGAAACUUGUCUCCAAGUCAUUUCUCAAAUAUUUGUCAAGAAUCAGAUAUAGUAUAAUGAUAGGGAAUGUUAUUGUUUCUGAAGCUGAUUCAUGAUCUCCAUAAAAAUGAAGACCCAGAACUGGACCCUGGGGUAGCACCAUGUAUGAUUUUUCUGACCCCAGCCAGAGGAUCUGCCAUCAUCCUGCCACAGAGACUUCAGCCCAGGUAGUUUCCAGAGAGCCCCAUGUUAACAUCCAAGGUGGAAACCAAUAAAUGUUUCUCUUGUAGGGUUCAGGUCUUUGGCUCUAAAGAAAAUCACUCCAUCUUUGACCCAGAAGGUCAAUUCUGAAUGAAUUUGCUGAAAAUGACCAAUUCACCAAAUUUAGUUAUUUCUAUGAUAAUUUAGUUGACUGGAAAUCAUUUUUUCGUUACAUUUUAAAGAAUGUUGAAUUUGUCUCUGCUCCAGCUUCCUGUAGCUCGUUUGAGGCUAAGAGAUAAAGAGAGGAAACACCAGGGAACAUAAGAUUUCUUCACAGUGAGGAAUAUAUUUAUUAAAUAUAUUUAAAAGAAUAUAUUCUAAAAGAACAUAUAUUCCAUUUUUGCCUGCUCUGACUUCUUGAUGCUGUACCUGGAGACUAACAUGAAAAGAAAGCAGUAUAUACUGGCCAGGCGCAGUGGCUCACACCUGUAAUCCCAGCACUUUGGAAGGCUGAGGCUGGUGGAUCACUUGAGGUCAGGAGUUCAAGACCAGCCUGGCCAAUAUGGUGAAACCCUAUCUCUACAAAAAAUACAAAAAUUAGCUGGGCAUGGUGGCAGGUGCCUGUAAUCUCAGCUACUCGAGAGGCUGAGGCAGGAGAAUUGCUUGAACCCAGGAAGUGGAGAGUGCAGUGAGCCAAGAUUGCACCAUUGCACUCCAGCCUGGGUGAUAGAGCGAGACUCUGUCUCAAAAAAAAAAAAAAAAAAAGAAAAAAAAAGUAUACACUGAUAAGAAUUCUUCAAAUUGAAGAUUAUGUUCUUAUGUCUACCCAGUCUUUCCUUUUUCCUUUCCUUCGGACUCCAACUAGAACAGCAAGGAGCAGAGACAAAGACAAACUAGUCCUUAAAAUGCUGUUAUGGAGACAAAAUGACACCAAACAAGUCCACUCUGUGAAUUGGUUAUGCUGUAAAUUAAUCUUUGUCUAAAUGGCCUUUGACAAACCGACUGACUCCUAGCUGACCUCCUUAGACAUACCCAGUAUCCCAAGUGAAGCUGUUUCAUCGUUUUUUGUUUGUUUGUUUUAAAGACAGGAGGUCUUUCUGUGUUGCCCAGGAUGGACUCCAAUUUCCUGGCUCAAGCGAUCCUCCUGCCUCCGCCUCCCAAGUAGCUGGGACUACAGGUGCUUGCCUGGCUUGCUUCACCAUUUUCAAGUCUCAGAACAUGGGAUCAAUCUUAGACCCAAAGGAGGAUGCUUCUCAGAAACACUCUCUGUCCUGCCGUACGUCUGUCUAAAGUAAGAAAAAUAGAUGAGAGAAUUCUGCUUAAGGACCACAGCACAGACACAGUAGGAAAAAUAAGGGGGUGGGACCUAAAGGAUACUGGACAUUGUGCAUCCUUUUAUGUAUAUUUUGGUUAUAUAAUCUGUUUUGGGGGAUUGAUUUCUGAGGUCUCACCCCUCUCCCAAUCUAGAGGAUCUCACAUCUUCCUUUGAAUUUAGUACUCGGCAUCUUUGUGGGAGCUGAGGACCUUGAAGAAGAGAUUGCUCAGAGACCUCUUACCAGGGUGAGGCCAGCUUCCCGUAUUUGGGGAUCCCACAUGCUAACCAGCAAUGCAGAAAUCCCAAAUCCUGUUCUCACUUUUCAGUAGUCCUACCUGUUUGACACUGAGGAAGCAGAUACUUGGAUGAGAUCUGAAUUGGGUCUUGUACAUUGCCUACAGGCCAAAGGCAAUGUGUUGAAGAGAUAAUCUUGAAAGAGUAAUGGGAAAGGAGACCUCAGAAACUGAUCUCAUGAGGCAGAACAACCCUUGCUCUAAUUUCAUAGUCACAGGGUACCUGCUGAUUUCCAAAAGAUGUUACUGUUAUGUUUGUCUUCUUAAGAGAUGGUGUCUCGCUCUGUCGCCUAAGCUGGAGUGCAAUGGCACAAUCGUGGUUCACUGCAGCCCCAAACUUCCAGGCUCAAGCAGUCCUCCAUCCUCAGCCUCCUGAGUAGCUAGGAGUACAGGCACACAACACUAUGACUAACUAAUUUUUAAUUUUUUGUAGAGACAGGGGUCUCCCUGUGCUGCCCGGGCUGGUCUCCAACUCCUGCACUCAAGCAAUCCACCUGCGUCAGCCUCCCAAAGUGCUGGGAUUACAGGUGUGAGCCACCAUGCCCAGCCAAUUGUGUUUGUCUUAAUCAGCAUGUCCUACACCACUUCCAUGCCAGGCCACCAGGGAAAGAGACUGCAGAUGUUUUUUCUUUGUGAAAAUUACCAAACUUAAAGAUCUUAACUGCAAAUUUAUUUCAUUGAUUUUAACAUUUUUGAUUUUAACAUAUAAAUACAAGAAAAUUAAAUAAAUCAGAAAAGAAAUAUUGCAAAGACAAGUCAGCACUCACAGAAAUGUGUAUUAUUACUAUGGUUAGUCUGAGAUCCAACAUUCACUUGAAAUAUAUGCAAGAGAACCUUAGUGAAAGACUUAACUAAAAGGGGUUUGAAAUGUUCCUAAUAAGGAUGUACUUGAGGCACUGCUCAAGCAGAUGUAGGUAGGAAGCAAGAUAGACCCUGUAUAUAACUAGGAGCAAUCAAGGCUCGAUACAUGUAGCAACAAUAGCAGUGUAGGACAGUUCCCUGUUCCCAAUAGCUACUCCCCUUGUCACUGUGCAUUCUUCAAGACACAUUUAAAAAACAAUUAUAGCUCUGGCUGGGCCAGAGUGUACCAGUCAUAACAAUCAACAAUGUACCAUGCAGUUGCCUUUUAAAGAACGGCAAUAUGAUUUUUUUCCAUAUAUAUGUACCUUUUUAAGAGAAGGAAUCCUAGUCUACUCUCCUGUUCCUAAAGGCUCUGGGGAUUUGAGAAGCGGCAGUGUAUGUACCUCAUCUACGUUCACAAUUUUCCUGACACAUGGUCUGGAUGACAGUUCAUCCCUCUCUGUGGCCAAGGUAUAAAGCUAAACAUCUUGGUGCAGAUUCUAUAAUCUGACUACUGGGGAUGCGGUCAGGGGAUGGGUAUUCAUAUUGGAUGCUGUGUUUGGCUGUACAGGUCGUGCACCCAAGAGGGUGAGUGGGGCUAAAAUAUGGUCUCUCCACUCUGUUUGUCAAACCAUGAGCCCAUAGGGCUGUGUCUGCCCAGUGGGGGCAUCUUUUCCUAACUUGCUCAAAGGCACUGUAUGAGCUAACUGUGGCACUGUCUGCUUACAUUUUCUCAGUCUGGCUGGGAUCAUUAUUUCUUGAUUUCACUGAGGUUUCUGUAUUUCACAUCCUAUAUCAUCUCCAAAAGGAGCUUUAGGAUUUGCGGAACGAGCAAGGAUUUUCUGAAUUAUCACGUGAGACAAAACAACCAUGAUUCUACAAAGGAAUACAUUUACACAGUAGAAAAUAAAUACAAAAAAAUGUAGAAGUAAGAUUUUUGACACAUGGGUCACUAGAAUUUAGCUUAUAUACAACAAAGGCAUGCACAACUAAACUCACCAACAGGCUGAAGUCAACAGUUGCUUUAUAUGAUGUUAUCAAAGAUAACUUAGCCUCUUUAAAAGGUAGCUGAAAGUUCACUACCUUUUUUUGUUUUCUUUAUAGGAGUCAUUCUUAGUGUAUUGUUUAAAACCAACCUUCUUAUAAAAUGAAAGAUAAGAAACCAAAUCAGAAAUGUCUAAAAACCAUGGUGUAAUGUCUUGGUUUCUUCUUGUAAUAAUAAUCAUCGCCCUUAAUUAGCUUAUGCUUCUCCAGAUGUUGCCGAGAAUAAAAUGAGUUGAUUUUCAUACAUCUCACAUUGUGUAAAAGGUAAAAUUGGACAUUUCACACUGUCAAGCAUCAUGCUUUGAUUUUAGAAGAAAGGAAUCACAUUUGCUCAAUAAAGUGUAAGCUUCCCCGCUUUGAAGUCCUUCUGAGAGCCAUACGGCCUUUCCCAUUGCAGGAAUCUUCCUUCUCGUUAAACAUGUGCUGUUUUCCAGUGAAAUCGUGAAGGCACACAUCUCCAUUCUGAACACUAAAAGAGACCCCAUUCCUCUCUGUAGAAGCAUUUCCUGUAUAAGGAAACACAAAGCGGGUGGCAUGAAGUAUCCACAGAAAGCAUUAAAAAGCAAACAAACUUAGACAUUGCUUUAUUCUUAAAGAUGUAUUUGUAAAAUAUGUUUUUAAAAACAUUUGUGAUAUAUGUUCAUAUUUUAUUUAUUUUUCAUUACUUCCCUAAGGCCACUCAAAGUAAGCAUACCAAAGUGGAGAUUGCUUCAGAAACCAGUUCUCUAUGGCAGUUUUUUUUUUGUUUGGUUUUUAAUGAAACAGUCAAAAUCUGAAGCAAGGUAAUAUAUUAAUAAAAGGCCCACUUCCUAACUCUGGUUGGAUAUGUUUUGACUUCAAGUAGCAGCAUAUGUAUAAUAUAAGCUAAGGUAAUACUUUGGUCUCCCAAAAGGUUAAUGUUAACAGAGAUCCCCAUAUGUACCCUUAGGAAGUUCUUGGUUCCCUAGGUUCCUAUAAAAUGAAACUUUGUACCAGAGAAACCAGAGCAACCAGCUACAACAGUCAUGGCAAGAAGAAAUCAUCUCUCUUGUAGAUUAAACCAGCUCCUCUGACUAAAUCAGGACAGGACAAAUUCCCAAGAGGAAACUACCAAUUCCAACUUCAGAGUCCAGGCCAGGGAGCAGCUGGGCACUCAAGGGUAACUGUUGGUUUGGACGUGGGCCUUCCCCACCCCAAGCAGGCCCUGAGUUAUAGGGGAGCACAGGUGCUGGCCUCCUCUAGUUACUUGGCACCAUCCUUCUGAUCAUUAGACCAUUGGGAGACUAUACACAAAGCUGAAUAAUAAGCCCAUUUGAUAGUUCAUGACAUGAUUAUGAUAACAAUGAUCAUAACAGUACUGGGACACUUUAUUAUCUCAUUUAGAGCCCUGCAGGGUGGGUACUACUGUUAUCCCCAUUUUGCAGAUGAGGAAACGAAGGUUUCAGAAAUUAAGUGCUCUCCCCAAGGUCACACAGCUCAGAAGUAAUGGAGUUGACGUGUGAUGUUGCUUCCAAACUGUGAUCCUUGUGGUCCUGGGUACCAAAUGAGAUGGCUGCUGGUACCCCACCCUCUAAGGCAGCUCAGAACUGAACUGUGUAAUAUUCAUGCAAACUAGGUGAUGAAUAUGGUUAACGUAGCUCCAUCUGUGACACAGAUCAAAUAGGGCAUGUGACUGUCUGAGGCAGCUGUUUGGAUUUAGGCAUUUCGGCUUGAGGACAUUUUGGUGCAAGAACAAUUUGGUCUGGCAUAAUAAAUCAUUAAACUUCUAGCUUUUUUUGUUGUUGUUGAGACGGAGUCUCGUUCUGUCGCCCAUGCUGGAGUGCAGUGGUGAGAUCUAGGCUCACUGCAACUUCUGUCUCCUGGGUUCAAGCGAUUCUCCUGCCUCAGCUUCCUGAGUAGCUGGGACUACAGGUGUGUGCCACCACGUCUGGUUGAUUUUCACAUUUUUUAUUAGAGAUGGAGUUUUUCCAUGUUGGCCAGGCUGGUCUUGAACUCCUGACCUCAGGUGAUCCUCCUAACUUAGCCUCCCAAAGUGCUGGGAUUACAGGUGUGAGCCACUGCGCCCAGCCCUAGCUUUCUUUUUUGAAAUUGCCAAUUCCAUUCCUCAUCUAUCCCAGAUGCUGGGGCAAGGACUGAGGAGUCAGGAAUGGUUAUCUGACAUGCAUAUUAUGUGAUAUUAAACACUGAGCCAUUUUGGCAGCCUUAAAAUGUACCCCCAUCCUCACCGUCAAGCAUCAAAAGUAGCUGUGUCAAAUCAGCUGUGUUAAACAACUGUGGUAAAAUGUGCUGUUUCCAUGAAAUCUGAUUUCCCAAAGGAUGACAACAUGUUGAUAGAGCUAGGCAGGUGAGGCUUCAUCUCUGAGCUCUUUCGAGAAUAUGGACAAAUCUGGUUUAUGGAUUCAGAGCCCCAGAUGACCCUGCUCGCUCCUUUGAUGUCUCUCCUUUCAAUUUGCUUUCUCACACUAACGUACUAACCAGCUGUGCUCCCCGCUGCCUCGCCUCUGUUUACCUACAUUGAAUCAUUCCUGAUAGAGCUAUUUGGUGUAGAGCCCAGAGCUUGCUUUCUGGUAUCGACAGUAAAGAGCUAAGGCUAUACAACAGUUAUUUCUCAUCUUUUACAGCAGUGAUUCUCAACUGGGGGCAAUCUUGCUCCCUUCUUCUCCCCGCUCCCCUGGGACAGUUGGCAGUGUCUGGGGACAUUUUGGGUUGUCAUAACUGGGGGCAGGGUGCUACUGGCUCUAGUUGAUAGAGUCCAGGGAUCCUGCUAAAUGUCCUGCAAUUCCACAAAAAAGAAUUAUCCAGCCCCAAAAUGUCAAUUGUGCUUGAAGUUGAGAAACCUUGAUUUUGAGGCAUCCUAUGGUAUUUUAAAAGCCUAGACAGGCCGGGCACAGUGGCUCACACCUGUAAUCCCAGCACUUUGGGAGGCUGAGGCGGGAGGAUCACUUGAGCCCAGGAGUUUGAGACCAACCUGGACAACACAGCAAGACUGCAUCUUAAAAAAAAAAAAAAAUUAGCCAGCCAUGGUGGCAUGCUCCUACAGUCCCAGCUACUCGGGUGGCUGAGGUGGGAGGAUCACUUGAGCCUGGGAGGUCGAGGCUGCAGUGAACCGUGAUCAUACCACUGAACUCCAGCCUGGGCAAUAGGAGACCUUGUCAUAAAAAAAAAGAAAAAAAAAAAAAAAAGUCUAGACACACCAGCAGGACUGCCCAUCUUCAGGAAACGGGAAAACUGGUAGAUGUAUGAACCUUCUCACAAAUUUAUUUGAGUUAGUCAUGAAAAGAACUAACAUCCUAAAACAAUGAAUACAGGCAAAUUCUCCAUGGAAGGAGAAACUAUACCAGCAGAGCUUAUGUUUUUAUAAGAAUGCAAAAGAUAUAUUAAGAAGCAAGAGAAGGUAAAAAUAGAUAAGGUAAGCUUUUAUGAGUAAUGAACAGCCUGGUCUUAUGAAAGAAAGAAAAUGUAACAGAAGUUUUAGCUAGAAAUGUCAGAAUUAAUGAGUAAAGGAGGCAUGGCAGCAAUAAUCUGUUCAGAUAUUGGUCACAUAUAUGGUCACCAAUACUGGUCACAAGUCAUCUUCCAGUAUUUUGACAUAUUCAUGGGGAUUUGGGUGCUGUCACAAGACAGCCACAUUGUGGGAAAGAAUUAACAAACAUGAAAAGCAAAAAAUAGGAAGGUUUAAAAGUGUUGGCUGGGCGCGGUGGCUCACACCUGUAAUCCCAGCACUUUGGGAGGCCGAGGUGGGCAAAUCACUUGUGGUCAGGAGCUCGAGACUAGCCUGGCCAACAUGGUGAAACCUGUCUCUACUAAAAAUACAAAAAUUAGCUGGGCAUCGUGGCGGUCACCUGUAGGUCACCUGUAAUUCCAGCUACUCGGGAGGCUGAGGCAGAAUUGCUGGAACCCAGGAGGUGGAGGUUGCAGUGAGCUGAGAUUGCACCAUUGCACUCCAGCCUGGGCAACAAGAGUGAGACUCCAUCUCAAAAAAAAAAAAUGUUGAACAUGUAUAUUAUGAUAGAUGUAAUAAAAAUUGCUAUAGUCUUAUCAGCUAUUUUAGGUACUGCUCUCACAGAAAUAGCACAAUACUGAAGUCUUUGGACAAUAGUUAAGUGAGGAUUUAAAAUGUUAAAAUUUUUAGGUCAUCAUCAAUUCCCACUAUGAAAAACCAAAUCUUAAAAAAUCGUUGUUCCAGUAUUUGCUCUAUAAUAAAUCAAUUUGGAUUAGUAAACUUUCUCUUCUGUAAGGGAACCACAUUUUGAUCCACUAGUCAUAUAUGUAUUAAUAGUUACUCACUUUGCUUAGCCAAAAUGCCAAUAAAGGAUAAAACUAUUUUAAAAAAUAAACACUAGCUUGAGAAAUACUAUAUUGAGACAUACAUACCAUUCCCGCUUGCGUGUACUGAGCAAUCAUUAUUCACUAGCAGUGUGGUGGAGUUAGUGGAGUUACUGCUUGACUGUAAGGAAUUUGAAGAGCUGGACACUCCUUGGUUUACAGUCUGCUUCUUUAAACCAUUAGUAGCAGUUUUACUCCAGUCUACAGCAGAAUAAGCAUUACAGAAAAACAGGGCAGUAUGUUGAAGCUCAAACGCAAGAGACAGAUCACAGUGUAACAAGUCCUAAGCAACUGAUUUCUCACUUCAGGAUCUUAUGGAGAAGUCACCUUCCACCAGUUGGUGUGAUAACAUGUAUUUUCAUUUGGAUUAUUUACAUUUGUCCUUCAAAUGACUGUGGGGUUAAAAGUAACCUAUAUUCUCCUAGAACUAAAGGCCAAGCUAAUUUGAUUAUGUCUAUAAAUAUCCAUAGAAUUAGGUAGUGAUUCAGAGCCUCACACUGUCUUAACAAGAACACAAAUAGUCUGUGUUGUAAUGACUAAUUGUUCUUCACUCCAUGAAAAUGAUUGAACUAUGUGUACUGCCAUUUUCUGAAUACAGACUCCCGUGUCGCCCAGAUACUGCAAAGGUGGUAUUCAUGCAAAAGGAAUGUAGCUUUUCAAACAGUACUUCAUUUUUCUCAUUUUCUUAAAAAAAAAAAAUGAGCUAUUUGCUCUACUACCCAACCGGGUAUAUGUGAAAAUCACUUCAAAAUAAACAAAUGUAUGUUACAACCAAAUGUAUGCUAAAGCUUAUACACAAAGUCUGGCUUACUAACAAAUAAAGCAACUGACAACCAGGACCUGUGGAGAAAGGAUUGAGUUGAGAUUUUAAAAAUUACCAAGGUAAAUAUUAAAAAUUACUUUGGGAAAUGAAAAGCAUAAUCUCAAUAGAAAAUCAAUUCUAAAAAUUUUACUGUUGCUUCAUUGAAGAGGCAGCCAGCCCAUCAAUUUUAUUGCUCAAAAAAUUCCCAGAUAGAAAUAAUUAUUUUUUAAUUCACUAGAUUUUUUUUUCUCCCUAAUGUUCACGAUCAAUAUUUUCUGUUGAGCAAAUUCCAGAUUUGCUGGAAUUCACUGAUUUCUAGAUUGGAUUUGCUUUGGAUCUUAAUUUAUACAAUCUUUUCCUUGAGAUUUAAGAGGAAGAGAAAAAGUGAGGUAAAUCUUUACCAGAAUUUUCAGCCAGCCGUAACUUUCCACAACAAAGAUACCGCCUCCAUUGCUUCCUGACAUUUUCUUUGGCCACACAGUAAAAGAUGAAUAUGAAAAAUCCUAAGGAGGGAAAAAAAACCCACAAUGAAUUCCAAGCUAAUAGCUGAAUGUCAUAAGCUCACUUUGCACAAAAGAUAUUAAUAAUUAUUUUGGCAGCUGUGGGCAACAUGAAAUUUUGCAAAUUGAAUAAAAAGUUCAGAGUCCUAGGAAAGCUUGCUGUCAAAAGGCAUCGGGGAAUGAAUGCCUUUAGAAAAUCUUUGUAAGAUUAAGAAUAUUUAUAUGAUAAAAGGAAUCAUAACUUUGCAUUUCCACAAUUAAAUUCACUGUCUCCUCCCACAUCCUGUCCUUGGCCUUCCGUAUCUUGGAAUUACAAGCCAUCCACCCAGGAUCCCAGCUUGGACUUAGGCUCCUGCCUCUCCCUCCCUCCCUAUUUAGAAUCCGUUUCCAAGCUCUGUCAAAUGCCAUCUCCUCCACACAUCUUUCCCUUCCCACUCUCCUCCUCUCCAGCCCACUGCCAUGUCCUUUGCUUGGAUCUCUCUCUCCCCCUCAAACCCAGGCAGUACAGCAAUGCACUCACCUACCUGCCUGCCUCCUCCUGACCUGCCCCAGGUGCUGGCAUGGAGAGCAAGCUGAAGACCUGAAGGGGCCCUGGGACUCCACCUCUCACCCACUCAGGUGCCCAGUCAAGGCAGGCCAGGGCUCCCCAGCCAGCCCCAUGGCUGCCACUCCCCAAGGCUUUUGCCAAUAAAUAUUUGCUGAGUGAAUGGAUGAAUUCUGGGUUCUCUGCUUUCUACUUAAAAACCCCCAAUCUAUUCACUUUAAAACCUUCAUUUUAAGAUACCAGGGGCCAGGCGUGGUGGUGGCUCACGCCUGUAAUCUCAGCACUUUAGGAGGGUGAAGUGGGAGGAUCACUUGAACCCGGGAGGCGGAGGUUGCAGUGAGCCGAGAUCGCUCCACUGCACUCCAGCCUGGGUGACAGAGCGAGACUCCAUCUCAAAAAACAAACAAACAAAACAGUUUUGCUUCUAGUAGGGUAUAUGUGCCCACCGUCAAGACCCAUGUCUGAAUAUUACACAGCUUCAUUCAUUUGUCACCCUGGAAGUCGACCAUUGGUUGCAUUAGGAGAGAAACAGCAUGUAUAAGAGAGGCCAAAAUCAGAAGAUAUAUAUAUAUUCAACCACCCCAAAAGCCCUGUGCAUUAGGGUUAGUUUCCUUGUAUAGAUGAAACAAUACAUUCAUUCCUUUUAUCCAUUCAUAUUCUAAUGAGAAGAUAAUCUGGGGAAAUGAAGAAAAAGGCAGAUUCAGUUUCCACAUUAAACAUGUGAGGGUGGGUACCUUGCUUUCAUGUCAAUGAUUAGUGUAAUGUGGGCAUAUAUAUAUGUUUUUUCUUUUAAAGUAUCUAUUACUUUCAGUAUUGCCGUGGUUGGCAAAUAAAACUUUUCUUAAGACCCUUAAAAAGAAUUUGCUCAUGUUUUUGGUUUUGUAUGUAAUACCAUGCGGUGUAACACCUGGAUAUACCAAUUGAGGAACCGCUAUAUUAUAAGUAAAAAUUAAUAACCAUAUAUAACCAAACAAGCAUCUCUGCUGGCUUCCUCCAAAUUAAAAUAAGAACCAACAACCAAAUUCGGCAUUUGAAUUUAACCUCAGGUUGGGAUUUCUCUGAAAACCAACAAGAUGAUCUAUUGCCUGAUAGAACUAGAGAAGGACAAUAUGGGAGCAAAAGCAACAGGAAAGAUGAACAAAAGCCAAUGAGAAGGCAAUUAAAAGGCAUCCCCAAAAGAGGAUUCAGAAUAAAAGGAAACUAAGGGACAGUGAAUUAUUGUUAUUGUAAUGUAAACCUAAUAGCCUGCUGGGCUUUUAAUGCCAAAGCACUUCCAUUAAAAAUUAACAGCAGACACGUCUUUCAUAACACUGCUCUAAAAGAAUUAGUCAUUUUCCUUUCUAAAGAGUACAACUAUCAGGGUUCCAAGAUGCAUGGGCUUCAUUAACCAAUGGGAAACCUAAAGCAGAUGGCGACACACAGAGCCUGCUCUCUUUCCCGCUGAGUGUCCCAGGGCAGCAACUUCUUGGGAUUAGCCUUCAAGUAAGACUGCUGCCACUUGGGUCUGUCUGUUGCCUUCCCAUUUCUCAUUGUCUCCAAAUCGCUGACCUAGGAGGGGAGAGUGGUGAGCUCCCACAGGCACAGUCAUGGUAUGUGUGCUUACAGUCUGCAUGUUCUACUUGAAUACAAAAGUUUUUUUUUUUAAAAGAAACCAAGUGAAGGAAGAAUAAUUGACUUUUUCAAAAAGUGUUCCUGGCAGGUUCCCCUCAAUAUGGUCUCUCCAAGGAGACAACUAUGAAUAAGGAGAAAAAAACACCAUUUCUUGAAUUUAGUAAGCACCUUUCCUCCAAGGAUCUCAAAGCACUCCCUCUCAAUAAUAAAUAUGUUUUUCAAUGAAAAUAUCAUAAGCCACUAAAUAAGCUACUUUGCAUAUACAAGCAUACCUCAUGGGGUUUCACAGAUAGUACUUUUUUUUUUUUUUUUUUUUUUUUACAAAUUGAAGGUUGUGGCAGCCCUGCGUCCAGCAAGUCUCUCAAGGCCAUUUUUCCAACAGCAUGUACUCACCUUGUGUCUCUGUAUCAGCAGUUUUUAGCAAUAAAAUAUUUUUAAGUUAAAGUAUGUACAUUUGUUUAGACAUCAUGCAAUUGCACACUUAAUAGACUAUAGUCUAGUGUAAACACAACUUUUAUAUGCACUGGGAAACAACAAUUUGUGUGACUCACUUUAUUGCAAUAUUUGCUUUAUUGUAGUGGUCUAGAACCAAACCCCCAACAUCUCUGAGGCAUGCCUGUACUCUUUUAGUAGCUACAUUUUUAUAUUCAACUGGGAUCAUUCAGUUUGUAUUUGAUGCUGUAAAGCUUACCUUGUAAGGUAUUAAAGAUGGCAAACAGAUACAUGAAGGUCACGUUAACUGGUCCCCAGGCAAAGAAGGCAAAGCCCCAAGUUAUUCCCAGUAAAAAUGUAAGGCCAGCGAUACUCCUGAGGUCUUGAAUACUGGUUUUUCGCUGGGCUCCCAGUUGCUUCUUCUUUUUAAUUCGACAGAGCUGAACCAGGACCACAAUGAACAUGCUGACGUUCAGCAAAAAUAUCACACAGAAAUAUCCCACCACCGUAAUGUAGAAUACUGCAUUGUUGUUGAUCCAGCAGCUGGAGUUUGUGGAGGGGGGGAAACAGGGGAAAACAUAUUAUAGUAAUGAACUAGAGUUCAAAAUGAUACAAUGAAUCUCUAACAUUUUACUGAAACAUUUUCUACCAGUACAAGAGAAAAAAAAUGAUAAAACUGCUAUUCUCUACAACCAUUUAUAGCUCUAGGGAAAAUAAUCUAAGAGUUUAUUUGAGGACACUUGGUGAUUUAAAGUAUUUUAAAAAUAGACCUUUUUUUAAACAUUCAGGAUUUUGCCCCUGUAAAUCCUAGCAACUCUGUUCUAUGAGUCUUUAUUAAUAUAACUGGAAUGUCAUUUUAUCAGAGGCUAAUGAAAAUAUUUUCAAAAUAGUUCUUCCUAAUUCAUUUUUCUUUUCAGAAUAGCUCCUAAUUCAUCACUUGAAGAGUAGCAUGGCAUUUCCAGCUAGCUUCUCUCAUUACAUAUGACUGUGAAGGCUGCUGUGAAGUAUUGCUGGGUUUUAUUAGGAUGAUAGCAGGAGUCAAUAUGCUGAUUAGAUCCUCCGUUUUCUAGGAGCAUUCCGUUUUCCAGUUCACUUAGCAUUCCCUUAGGGGGCUUUGUACUCACAAGUCAUCCGGUGAACCAUUGGGGAAUUUCCCAUAGGAUCCAAGCCCAUAGUUAUCUGGGGAUAUAGUCAGGAUGAUGGUCACAACCACAGCUGGUACCCCUGGAAGAUGGGAAACAUUGGUCACACCUAAUUUUUUUUUUUUUUUUUUUUGAGACGGAUUCUUGCUCUGUCACCCAGGCUGGAGUGCAGUGGUGCGAUCUCGGCUCACUGCAACCUCCGCCUCCUGGGUUCAAGUGAUUCUCCUGCCUCAGCCUCCCUAGUAGCUGGGAUUACAGGCGCGUGCCACCAUGCCUGGCUAAUUUUUGUUUUGUAUUUUUCGUAGAGACGGGGUUUCACCAUGUUAGCCAGGAUGGUCUCGAUCUCCUGACCUCGUGAUCUGCCCGCCUCGGUCUCCCAAAGUGCUGGGAUUGCAGGCGUGAGCCACCGCACCCGGCUGGUCACACCUAGUUCUAAUAACCAAAGUGGGUGACAAGACUAGAGAUCACAUCCUAUUUACAUCUUGUAGCAGAGACUGGCUAGCUGUUCACCAGGCUGGUUUCUUUUCCUCUUUGGCACAUGACUGGAUGCUCCCAGCCUCCCAGGCAGCUGGGUGUGUGUGGCCACAUGGCUCACUUUGGGCCCAUGGGAUACGGGCACAAGUGAUUUGCUCCACUUCCAGGCCUGCCCCAUAGAAACCUCCUGUGAGAUCCUCUACUUUCUUUUUGCCUGCAAACUUAGGGCAACCUUGAGGCAGAGUCUUCAAUAGCUUGGAUCCCUGAAUAACUGCAAGACCAGGGACUCCUCUGCCCCUGCUAACUAGACUGUAGGUGAGUGAGAAAUGAUCUUCUACUGAGAUUUCAAGGUGAAUCUGUUACAGCUGCCAGUGUUGCCUUUAACUCCCCACCCCCCACCCGGCCCCCCUCUGUCACCCAGGCUAGAGUGCAGUGGCACAAUCUCGGCUCACUGCAACCUCCGCCUCCGCCUCCCGGGUUCAAGCGAUUCUUGUGCCUCAGCCUCCCAAGUAGCUGGGAUUACAGGUGUGCACCACCACACCUGGCUAAUUUUUGUAUUUUUAGUAGAGACGGGGUUUCACCAUGUUGGCUAGGCUGGUCUCGAACUCCUGACCUCAGGUGAUCCGCCCACCUCGGCCUCCCAAAGUGCUGGGAUUACAGGCAUGAGCCACUGCACCCAGCGUUGUGCCUUUAACUUAUACAUGUCUGGAAUGUAUAUUUAAGAGUCAGCAACUCCUGGCAAAUCUUUCAUUAUGAAACCAAAAGUCCUCAAUUUGAAGACUUUGAGACCCAGUGAAGGAUGGAGGGUUCUGUCCUGGCUGAUCCAGGGGGUGGUGACUGCUACUAUGCUGGCUCUGUUGAGAGCCCACGGACACUUCCCUUCAGAGAAGGUACCAUGAGAAGGGUCCCCCAAGUUUAAAAUGGCUUUUGGUGGGGAAAGAAUCCUAUUCACCACUGCACACCAUCACCCGCCAGCCCCAUGCCACCGCCCCACACUCUGCACACUGACCAGCAGACGUCCUAUCUCAAGGCUCUGGUAAAGAACAAACAAUUCCUUGUCACAGACCAGUUGCAGUGCCUGGUAAAAUCAAAUCUAAUAGUUCAUUUAAUGCCUUUGCGCUUGUACCUUCUGGUGACCCUGACAUAUGAUAAUUUUCUAAGUGAGACACUUUGUUAAAAAUAAAACAUUGGGGGUGGGGGCCUCAUACUUAAGAAAGGAAUCUGACUUUCAGCCUUCUCUAAAGAAGACAGAAUCCGUGCCCAGUAUCUGGAGCGUUGACUUAUGUUUCUGGGACAAACAGGGAAAGGGUGUUGUUCUGUUGUUCUUCACAAAGACAUAGUGACAUAAGAUAGAAGGCAGGGUGGCAAGGGUGGUGGUGUGCUUUCAAUCUUGAUGUGUAGGAAUAUUUAGCCUGAAAAUAGAGGCAGUCUGGUUGGGGGGAUGGCAGAAGGCUGCAUAUAAGGAGACGGAGAGCCAGGCUUGCUGUUUUCUAGCUUUGUGAAUUGGGGGGAUAUCACAUCAUCACUUGGAGCCAGUUUCUUCACCUACAUUUGGGAUGACUGCCUGGCUCACCUCACUGGCUUAUCUUGCAUGGGGUCACUUGUGUGAAAAACAGGGGAUUAUACACACUGUUAUAUAUUACUUGUAGAUUAUCUAAAGGACUCUCUGGCAGAAGAGGUAUCAACUUACUGUUUUCUGCCUGAGCAAAACCACUGGUAAGUGCCACCAGGGAGCCAACUGAACUUAAUGGAAAAUCAGAACUGUAGAGCUUUAUAAAAUGGUUAUUGGCUGCCUUGUAAGGUCAUGAACUCCCCAGUAAUAGAAGUAUUCAAGCAGAAGUUAGAUUAUCUUUAGUCAAGGAUAAGUCAGGUGGAGUUGAGGGUUGAAGAGGCUCCUGCAUUGGGUGGGAAAUUGAAUGAAGAAAUCUUCAACAUAUUUGGGGAGCCUAAGGCCUUGCGACCUGCCACCAAUAGGCUGCACAAUCUGAAAUGUCAUGCCCACGUGGCAGUGAAGUUACAAUGGGUUUUAUAUGUACAUUCUCUCACUCUGCCCUUCUUAGCAUACUGUCAUACGUGUCUGAUAUCUGGGAGGUACAAAGUAGAAUGAGGCUGGCUGGGAGCUCAGGGACUGAGAGUUUGGGCUCUUUACCACCAAGCUAAUGUUUUCAAUAUAUUACCACCCCAAGCUAAUGUUUUCAAUAUAUUGAGCACCUUCUGUGCCAGCCCCAAAUUCUAGUUCCUGGAGAUACAAAGAGGAUUCAUGGUUCAACCUUGAGGAAUUCCAUAUUCAUAACAAAUCCAAAGAAAUAAACAGGUGUCCUAGAAGGAGACUUGACAAAGUUGCUCUUCGGGCAGUGCACAUGUAAGAGUAUAAAGCUGUUUUAGAAACUUGCUGAAUGUGAUCUGCUUCAUCGUUUCCACCUGCUCAAAAAUCAAAACACUAGAGAAAAGGCAGAGAAAGUCCAGGCAACAUGCAGGCAAGCUUAUACAUACCCCAACCGACAAUGCAGAAUUUAAGGAUGUAUUUUCGGAUGUAAGUAUUAAAUACUUUGACAAGGGCCAGGUACAUAUGGAAUGCUUCUAGGCCCAUCCAUGUGAAUGAGACCAAGAGAAAAUAAUGAAGAAAUACAGCCACUGAGAUGCAGAGGCCUUGCAUCUUAUACAGAGCAAUCCACGAGUCCAGGAGGAAGACCAGGUUCAGCAGAAGCAGAGCAGCACACAGCUGGAUGAGGAUUUUGGAAGGGUAAUCCCUCCGGAUCUUUCUAAAAGGAAAGGAUGAGAACAAGAAUGAGCAUUCUACUCUGCCAACCCUCCAACUUUUUUUUGGUUUAAGAUAAGGUCUGGCUCUGUCACCCAGGCUGGAGUGCAGUAGCGUGAUCUCAGGUCACUGCAACCUCUGCCUCCUGGGCUCAAGCGAUCUUCCCACCUCAGUCUCCUGAGUGGCUGGGACUACAGGCGCUCUCUACCACACCCUUAUUUUUUUUGUAGAGACACGGUUUCGCCAUGUUGCCUAGGCUGGCCUCAAACUCCUGGGCUCAAGCAAUCCUGCUGCCCUGGCUUCCCAAAGUGUUGGGAUUACAGGCAUGAGUUACCACACCUAGCACCAACCCUUAUGUAAGCAUAUCUGUCAGGCUCUUUGAGUUUUAAGCAAUUUAUUUUUAUUCUUUGGUAAAUGUCUAUAUGCAUAAAUUUCCUCUGUUUGAGUAUAUGUGUAUAUGGGGUGGGGGGGAGCUUAAAACCAACAACAACAAAGGAAAAAUCUAAACAGAAUCAUCUGUGAUAACCAUAAGGAGAAUUUGUGUCUGUAUUUCUGUGGGACCUUUUACAUGCUGACUGUUGACGCAUACUUUUAAAUAGUUUGUAGUAGACUCUACUAAGCACUCGCCCUAUUUCUCCCAGACUACUUUCGGAAGCAUUGGUGCUGCUUCUCAUGGAGUCUGCUAUAUUCAGAUCUUCAAAAUUUAACCAAGAUUCCCAUAUUAUUGUAUGUUAUUAGGUAAAAUGAGAUCAUGGAAAGAAGAGUUUAAACUACAGCUAAAUGUAAUAGCAUAGGAGAAGCCAGCUAAUUGAUGACAUGUUCAUGUUUAUGCAUGCAAAAUUAGAUCCGAUGAAAUCAUUCUGAGUAAUGGCUGGCCUUCUGGUUAUUUAGUCUCACUAAUAAUAUUUCCAAAGGCUCACUAGAAGAUCCGUAGUCACAGCUAGACCCUAACUUUGGCACUGAAAAUAAAUUUUUACAUUUCCUGAUCAGUGUCCAAAAUCUAAAUCCAAGAACCUACAUAUUGUUUCGAUUCGUUAAUGCAAUAAAAAUGCCCAUGUCCUUCUUUUCCAUUAGAAUUUGUUGGAAUUACCCCCAAAAAGCAACCAAAGGGACCUGUCUGGUAAGCCAAGAAGGAAAGGCUGUUUUUUAGAAUGGCAUUCUUGCUGCAGAGCUACACUCACUGAAUAUCUAUUUUUUUCAGUAAAGCUUUUACAUCCUUAUUUCUCUCCAUCCCCACACCAGUUAAUGUAUUUAAUCUUUUGUGUUUGCUCAGUAUAAUUUAGAAAUGUAAUUUAUUAAACAUAGUUCUUAUGCUGUACAUGGUGCUGUGGUCUAUUUCAGAUGGUAAGUCUCUGGGUUUUGGGGCCUGCAUCCCUCAUUCAUUUCACACUUUAUGUCUAUCAGGUACUGGGUGUCAUUCUGGGGCACCAAGAUGAUUCUGACACAACCCCUGCCUUCAGGGAGUCCACAGACUAGUGUGAGGACACAAGCAUAUAAACCAACAAGUCCCAUAAAGUUGAUACAUGGAUGCUCCACUAGCUGGGUGUACAGGGUAAGGCAGGCCGAGGAAAGGGCUUAGUUAAUAAAUGUUGGCAAUGGAGGUGAGUGCUGAGUCCUAAAUCCAAAUUUCCGGUUGUGGAUACUCACUCAAAAGCUAUGUAGGUUACAAGAGUCACUGACAGAAAAAUUGAUGAAAGCCCACAACCAAUAUAUGUAAUGAACGUCAGAGCCAUCAUUUGAGCAGGCAGCACAGAUGUCCUAGAUAGGUCCUG
rnacentral:lncRNA from 10 species